rnacentral:rRNA from 1 species
GAUGAACGCUGGCGGCGUGCCUAAUACAUACAAGUCGAGCGAACAGACGAGGAGCUUGCUCCUCUGACGUUAGCGGCGGACGGGUGAGUAACACGUGGAUAACCUACCUAUAAGACUGGGAUAACUUCGGGAAACCGGAGCUAAUACCGGAUAAUAUAUUGAACCGCAUGGUUCAAUGGUGAAAGACGGUUUUGCUGUCACUUAUAGAUGGAUCCGCGCCGCAUUAGCUAGUUGGUAAGGUAACGGCUUACCAAGGCAACGAUGCGUAGCCGACCUGAGAGGGUGAUCGGCCACACUGGAACUGAGACACGGUCCAGACUCCUACGGGAGGCAGCAGUAGGGAAUCUUCCGCAAUGGGCGAAAGCCUGACGGAGCAACGCCGCGUGAGUGAUGAAGGUCUUCGGAUCGUAAAACUCUGUUAUUAGGGAAGAACAAAUGUGUAAGUAACUAUGCACGUCUUGACGGUACCUAAUCAGAAAGCCACGGCUAACUACGUG